AAAGAGGGUAUUCAAAUAACUCAAGAAAUUGAAGCAGGAAACUACCCUGUAAUAUCUUUGGAUUACAUCGCAGUGGUUCACUUUAAAGGCAUUUCUCUAUCCACAAGAACUCAUUCAACAAUACUGGUUGAACCAAAGGUACCUAGAGCAGAACACCUAAAAGAAUGGGCGAAAGAACAUCGUGACACACUUGACGCAUUGAAAAGAUGCCGAGACUACAACAAUGCUGCAAUCAAACUUGCAAAUCCAGAAAAAGAA